GCCUCUUGUCAGGUUAUUUCUAUUAGUCAUAAGGAGCAAUUGACCUUAAAAGACUGAAGCCAGACAGAUGAGCCUAUUCCACAAGGUCUCUUGGCUCCCCCUUGCUAAGUGAAACCUGCCAGACUGUAUGAGCUAGUUACAUUGAUGGUGCCUUCUCAGUACAGUAAAACCCUGGUGGUACUACUUCACUGUGAGGUAAUUUGGCAGUGACUCAAGUUCAGAAACUGGCAUGCCUGCAUCUGGGCUGUGGAGAAACUGUCUGAAGAAAUCAACCAAGUUAAAGAGAAUUUACCUUCCUCCCUAGCUGUACAAACCAGAGUCUAAGCUAUCACAGUUAAGUGUCAUUCUUUGAAACAAAAACAAUGUAGUGGGUGGAAGUCCCAUGCAGCGCAGGGAAGUAGCAAAUUAAGUCCUUGUUUUGCUUUGCUUGUGCAUGUGGAUUUUGCUUUACCUAGUAA